UGGCUGCAGUUGGAAAUAUUGGGCAAUGGGCUAAGGCCUGAUCCAGCCAUAUAGUAAGAGUGAGACAAUAAAACUCUAAAGAAAAGAAAAAUAAUGAUAUAACUUUUCUACUAAUCCUGACCAAUCUCGUGCCAGCAGUCGCGGUAAUACGAGAAGGAUAAGCGUAAUUCAUUAUAUCUAGGUGUAAAGGGUCUGUAGGCGGCGAAAGCUAGAGUGUAAUAUAGGAAAGAGGAAUUACUAAGGAGGGAUGAAAUCUGAAAAUUUAGUGAAGAACAUCAAAGGCGAAGGCAUCUUUCUAAAAUACACUGACGCUAAGAGACUAAAGUGUGGGUAGCGAAAAGGAUUAGAUACAAAUU
rnacentral:rRNA from 1 species